rnacentral:rRNA from 1 species
GCCGACAGGCCCGGGUAAUCUUGGGAAAUUUCAUCGUGAUGGGGAUAGAUCAUUGCAAUUGUUGGUCUUCAACGAGGAAUGCCUAGUAAGCGCGAGUCAUCAGCUCGCGUUGACUACGUCCCUGCCCUUUGUACACACCGCCCGUCGCUCCUACCGAUUGAAUGGUCCGGUGAAGUGUUCGGAUCGCGGCGACGGGGGCGGUUCGCCGCCCCCGACGUCGCGAGAAGUCCAUUGAACCUUAUCAUUUAGAGGAAGGAGAAGUCGUAACAAGGUUUCCGUAGGUGAACCUGCGGAAGGAUCAUUG